rnacentral:rRNA from 1 species
GCGAUACAGGGUGACAGCCCCGUACACAAAAAUGCACAUAUUGUGAGCUCGAUGAGUAGGGCGGGACACGUGGUAUCCUGUCUGAAUAUGGGGGGACCAUCCUCCAAGGCUAAAUACUCCUGACUGACCGAUAGUGAACCAGUACCGUGAGGGAAAGGCGAAAAGAACCCCGGCGAGGGGAGUGAAAAAGAACCUGAAACCGUGUACGUACAAGCAGUGGGAGCCUCUUAAUGGGGUGACUGCGUACCUUUUGUAUAAUGGGUCAGCGACUUAUAUUCUGUAGCAAGGUUAACCGAAUAGGGGAGUCGAAGGGAAACCGAGUCUUAACUGGGCGUUAAGUUGCAGGGUAUAGACCCGAAACCCGGUGAUCUAGCCAUGGGCAGGUUGAAGGUUGGGUAACACUAACUGGAGGACCGAACCGACUAAUGUUGAAAAAUUAGCGGAUGACUUGUGGCUGGGGGUGAAAGGCCAAUCAAACCGGGAGAUAGCUGGUUCUCCCCGAAAGCUAUUUAGGUAGCGCCUCGUGAAUUCAUCUCCGGGGGUAGAGCACUGUUUCGGCAAGGGGGUCAUCCCGACUUACCAACCCGAUGCAAACUGCGAAUACCGGAGAAUGUUAUCACGGGAGACACACGGCGGGUGCUAACGUCCGUCGUGAAGAGGGAAACAACCCAGACCGCCAGCUAAGGUCCCAAAGUCAUGGUUAAGUGGGAAACGAUGUGGGAAGGCCCAGACAGCCAGGAUGUUGGCUUAGAAGCAGCCAUCAUUUAAAGAAAGCGUAAUAGCUCACUGGUCGAGUCGGCCUGCGCGGAAGAUGUAACGGGGCUAAACCAUGCACCGAAGCUGCGGCAGCGACACUAUGUGUUGUUGGGUAGGGGAGCGUUCUGUAAGCCUGUGAAGGUGGCCUGUGAGGGUUGCUGGAGGUAUCAGAAGUGCGAAUGCUGACAUAAGUAACGAUAAAGCGGGUGAAAAGCCCGCUCGCCGGAAGACCAAGGGUUCCUGUCCAACGUUAAUCGGGGCAGGGUGAGUCGACCCCUAAGGCGAGGCCGAAAGGCGUAGUCGAUGGGAAACAGGUUAAUAUUCCUGUACUUGGUGUUACUGCGAAGGGGGGACGGAGAAGGCUAUGUUGGCCGGGCGACGGUUGUCCCGGUUUAAGCGUGUAGGCUGGUUUUCCAGGCAAAUCCGGAAAACCAAGGCUGAGGCGUGAUGACGAGGCACUACGGUGCUGAAGCGACAAAUGCCCUGCUUCCAGGAAAAGCCUCUAAGCAUCAGGUAACAUCAAAUCGUACCCCAAACCGACACAGGUGGUCAGGUAGAGAAUACCAAGGCGCUUGAGAGAACUCGGGUGAAGGAACUAGGCAAAAUGGUGCCGUAACUUCGGGAGAAGGCACGCUGAUAUGUAGGUGAAGCGACUUGCUCGUGGAGCUGAAAUCAGUCGAAGAUACCAGCUGGCUGCAACUGUUUAUUAAAAACACAGCACUGUGCAAACACGAAAGUGGACGUAUACGGUGUGACGCCUGCCCGGUGCCGGAAGGUUAAUUGAUGGGGUUAGCGGCAACGCGAAGCUCUUGAUCGAAGCCCCGGUAAACGGCGGCCGUAACUAUAACGGUCCUAAGGUAGCGAAAUUCCUUGUCGGGUAAGUUCCGACCUGCACGAAUGGCGUAAUGAUGGCCAGGCUGUCUCCACCCGAGACUCAGUGAAAUUGAACUCGCUGUGAAGAUGCAGUGUACCCGCGGCAAGACGGAAAGACCCCGUGAACCUUUACUAUAGCUUGACACUGAACAUUGAGCCUUGAUGUGUAGGAUAGGUGGGAGGCUUUGAAGUGUGGACGCCAGUCUGCAUGGAGCCGACCUUGAAAUACCACCCUUUAAUGUUUGAUGUUCUAACGU